GCCAGGCAUAGUGGUGCAUGACUGUAAUCCCAGCCACUUGGGAGACCAAGGCAGGAAGAUCAUUUGAGCCCAGGAAUUUGAGGCCAGCCUGGACAACAUUAUGAGACCCCAUAU
rnacentral:sRNA from 1 species